CUUGUUAUCAUCAUUAUCAUCAUCAUUAUUUAUGUUUUUAAUUAUAUUGGCACCUUUCGAAAAGUGGCAGCAUCUUAUUCUUGCUGAUCUUGUCCUGCUCAUUUUCUUUUUUCCCAUUUGUGCUGUAUUCCCACGACGUUGUCAGCGUUGAACCUUUAUGUCGAUUGAAAUAAGGACCUCCAUAUUAUCCAUUUGCGUUUGUAAUCUGUCUUGCAGCUGAAAACAAAGAGACAGAAACGAGCUCAGAAGAAAACCCAGUGCUUAAGCCUUUGGUGGCUUGCAUGUAAGAGGGGAUGUUGAAGUAUUGUCCCACUGUCCUAAGUUCUGUUUGGGUAUCUUGCUGCAGAAGUUGAAUUCAAUUUAUGCUCACUCUUGUGUAGAUCAACACAGCCAAGUGUGAAGAUAACAUGGGCAAUCUGUUUUGCUGUGUCCAAGUUGAUCAAUCUACGGUAGCUAUCAAGGAGAGAUUUGGCAAGUUUGAUGAUGUACUUCAACCAGGAUGCCAUUGCCUUCCCUGGAUUCUUGGAAGCCAGCUAGCGGGCCAUCUCUCACUUCGAGUGCAGCAGUUGGAUGUGCGAUGCGAAACUAAGACAAAAGAUAAUGUCUUUGUCAAUGUUGUUGCAUCAGUGCAAUAUCGUGCUCUUGCAAAUCAGGCAAGUGAUGCCUUUUACAAACUUAGCAACACCGAGGGUCAAAUUCAAGCCUAUGUGUUUGACGUGAUAAGAGCAAGUGUUCCAAGACUCGAUUUGGAUGAUGUGUUUAAGCAGAAAAAUGAAAUUGCCAAAGCAGUUGAAGACGAAGUUGAGAAGGCCAUGUCUACAUAUGGGUAUGAGAUUGUGCAAACACUGAUUGUUGACAUCGAACCAGAUGGGCAUGUAAAGCGAGCUAUGAAUGAGAUUAAUGCUGCUGCAAGACUAAGGCUAGCAGCUAAUGAGAAGGCUGAAGCAGGGAAGAUUCUCCAAAUCAAGAGAGCUGAAGGUGAGGCUGAGUCAAGGUAUCUUGCCGGGCUUGGUAUUGCCCGCCAGCGUCAGGCGAUUGUGGAUGGAUUGAGAGAGAGCGUACUGGGCUUCUCAGAAAACGUGCCUGGGACCAGUGCCAAGGAUGUCAUGGACCUGGUUCUCAUCACCCAGUACUUUGACACCAUGAAGGAAAUCGGUGCUGCGUCUAAAUCCUCUGCGGUGUUCAUUCCCCAUGGUCCUGGUAGCAUUCGCGAUGUUGCCUCUCAGAUUCGUGAGGGACUUCUUCACGCUUCCUCCGUCAGCUAGUUGCACAACGGAGGCCACUGAAAAGGAGGAUGAAGCCCGAAAAAGGAAGGGGAGAAGCUUUCUUUGGCUUUCUAUGUAAAUGUUUUCACGUGCAUUUGCUGAUGGUGUCUUCUGAAUGUCCCAUUUCGUUUGACCUUUCGGAGUUGUGAUUCAAGCACCGUAUAUGUGAAUCUUGAACGUGUUCCCAAAACAUAGUCUCCGUGCUUCUGCACAGAGAUACUGUGUAAAGUAUGGCAGAAAUUUAUCAUUCAAUUAGUCCAGCACGCCACCGUCAUCGCCAGCAUGCAAGCAGUGGCAUCCAAAGUCAUCUUCCAAACAUAAAAAGAAAAGGGAAAAAAAGGGAGCAAAAAGAAAAAACAUUUUCCUCUAGAGAGGAAGUAUCAUAGGGACCCAGUUAAUAAAUUGGCCAAAAAGUUUUCUCAGCAGUCUCGGCCUUUUGUCAGGUUUAUUCAUGCUUAUGAGAUCUAAAAAGAUUCAGAUUGUACUUGGCUAUGGUAGUGAUAGAAUCUCAUUUCCCAGUAUAUAACUCAUUAAUCCGGUACAAGUUCAUAAAGAUCUCUGAGGAUUGCAUGAUUUGCCCCACCAUAUGUAGCAUUAGCAGACAGGUAAAUGGAAGUAAUUGACUCGGGCUGAGCUGGAAGCAAACGGGUGCUGUUCUCUUUCAUUUCCCUACUCUAUGGCCUCAAAGCAAUAGUCAGUCCUAUCUUCGGUAUCCAGUUUAAGGAAUUUGGGUGAAAGUCCACCUCUCCGGCAAUGCUCAGAGAGAGCAUUUGAAAGAACUGUUGCUGAAUAAGAGCACCCACUUUGCCUUUCGUGUUUACUCGAGCCUUCACUAAUGUAGAAGGGAAUAUUGCUUGCUGCGAUCCCAUAGUGAAGAUCGUGUCAUUGAUCGAAAAGCUGUGAUUCAGUUCGGCAGCGACCACUGUCUGAUUCAGGGGAUUCACUGUGUGGUAAAAUGAAGCUCUCAGAGUGUUCAGCUUGUCAUUUCUGCAUAUUUGGCAACUUCGCUAUUUAGAUAACUAAAAUCAUAUUUUAGCUAACAGAAAUCGUGACUAUUUUCUGAAUUGGGAUUGCUCACACGGUCACGGAAGCUACAACGGAAGAGAGUCUGAGGCUUAGACCAGCAUCAAAUCUGUUAAAUGUUUUUGCCGAUACGUCGUACACAAGAUCGGCGCCAAGAGAAAUAGGAGUGCUUCCUACCACCCCUGAAAAGCUUAUAAUCGGGUCAUAUCCUCUGAAAGCAUUCGCUAUUACUCCGGUGCCUGCUGUAACCGCAGCAUAGUCAUGUAAAUAUUGCAGUUCCACCUGUCACCGCAUAUACGACGCAAGAGUGAACCAAUCGUGCAGAGAUGUAGGUGCAAAACUAAUGGGAUGCUUCGAUUCUUGCAAAUGCUAGGCAUUGAUAUCAAAAGUAGUGAGAACAGAAAAGAUCAAACUUAGUGAGAAACUGAUUGAAAGCUCUUACUUUGCCAGUGUAAGGAGCAAUGAGUUUGAAAGCCGUUCCAAAACCGGGGACGAUAUCUUCAACUGUCACAAUCAGGAUGGAGAUAGUUACUGUUAUAAGUUGGUAGACAAUUUCGAUCUGGACCAUGUUCGAAAAAAGAUGUAAUAUAUUUGUUUAUUGAGAUUGCUGGGAAGAAGGAAAAUAUUUGCAACCACAAGAUGAAAUAUGUGGAGGAAAGCUCAGGGGAUGAGUUGAAC